ACGGAGGAUCCAAGCGUUAUCCGGAUUUAUUGGGUUUAAAGGGUGCGUAGGCGGAUUGAUAAGUCAGUGGUGAAAGCCUGCAGCUUAACUGCAGAACUGCCAUUGAUACUGUCAGUCUUGAGUAUAUUUGAAGUGGGCGGAAUGUGCAGUGUAGCGGUGAAAUGCUUAGAUAUUGCACAGAACACCAAUUGAGAAGGCAGCUCACUAAACUAUAACUGACGCUGAGGCACGAAAGUAUGGGGAUCAAACAGG
rnacentral:rRNA from 1 species